rnacentral:rRNA from 1 species
UAGAGUUUGAUCAUGGCUCAGAACGAACGCUGGCGGCAGGCCUAACACAUGCAAGUCGAACGGGCGUAGCAAUACGUCAGUGGCGGACGGGUGAGUAACACGUGGGAAUAUGCCUUUCGGUUCGGAACAACUCGGGGAAACUCGUGCUAAUUCCGGAUACGCCCUUACGGGGAAAGAUUUAUCGCCGAAAGAUUAGCCCGCGUUGGAUUAGCUAGUUGGUGAGGUAAAGGCUCACCAAGGCGACGAUCCAUAGCUGGUUUGAGAGAACGACCAGCCACACUGGGACUGAGACACGGCCCAGACUCCUACGGGAGGCAGCAGUGGGGAAUCUUGGACAAUGGAGGAAACUCUGAUCCAGCCAUGCCGCGUGAGUGAUGAAGGCCUUCGGGUUGUAAAACUCUUUUGGCGGGGACGAUAAUGACGGUACCGCAAGAAUAAGCCCCGGCUAACUUCGUGCCAGCAGCCGCGGUAAUGCGACG